CUAGCUUUAAAUCAACAAACCAAAGAUGAGUUUGUAUGGAUGCUAUAUGUGGAUUCGAGAAUUCAAGAAUGCAUCCCAGAUGGAUUUUUGGCCAAUCGUGUUCUAAUAACUAAGGAUCCUGCAACGGUUACCCUUCCGACAAGUUAAGUGUAGUUGGAAUCAUUCUUAUUCAUGGGUAAGUGGCUAAAUGCCAUAGAUUGAGGUUGUUUUAUGUAGAAGUUGUAAGGGUAGAAUGCCCUAGUUGCAUUUUGGUUGAAUACUUUAAUUGAGUAAGGGUCGAAUGCGUGUUUGGUUCUUGAGUGUUUUUUGUUUAAUUAGUUAAGUGGAUGUCAUGUAUAGGUUUCGGUUUGUUGCGGUAGUAAUAACAUCUCGGAAACACUCAGGUGUGUGUUCU